GGACGAACGCUGGCGGCGUGCCUAAUACAUGCAAGUCAACGGUCUUUCUAUGGAAGCUUGCUUCCACUGAGAAGAUAGUGGCGAACGGGUGAGUAACACGUGGGUAACCUGCCCAUAAGAGGGGGAUAACAUCCGGAAACGGGUGCUAAUACCGCAUAGUUUUCUUGAUCGCAUGAUCGGGAAAGGAAAGACGGCCUUUGUGCUGUCGCUUAUGGAUGGACCCGCGGCGUAUUAGUUAGUUGGUGAGGUAACGGCUCACCAAGACGAUGAUACGUAGCCGACCUGAGAGGGUGAUCGGCCACAUUGGGACUGAGACACGGCCCAAACUCCUACGGGAGGCAGCAGUAGGGAAUCUUCCGCAAUGGACGAAAGUCUGACGGAGCAACGAACCGCGUGAGUGAAGAAAAGGUUUUCGGAUCGUAAAACUCUGUUGUCAGAGAAGAACAAGUUGGAGAGUAACUGCUCCAGCCUUGACGGUAUCUGACCAGAAAGCCACGGCUAACUACGUGCCAGCCGCCGC
rnacentral:rRNA from 1 species